UUGGAGGGCAAGUCUGGUGCCAGCAGCCGCGGUAAUUCCAGCUCCAAUAGCGUAUAUUAAAGUUGUUGCAGUUAAAAAGCUCGUAGUUGAAUUUCGGGAUCAAUUUGCUGGUCGUGCCUCUGGUACGUACUGGUAUUAUUGGUUUCUCCCUUCUGACGAACCAUGAUGUCAUUAAUUUGAUGUCGUGGAGAAUCAGGACUGUUACUUUGAAAAAAUUAGAGUGUUUAAAGCAGGCAUUAGCUUGAAUACAUUAGCAUGGAAUAAUGAAAUAGGACGUUUGAUCCUAUUUUGUUGGUUUCUAGGAUUGACGUAAUGAUUAAUAGGGAUAGUUGGGGGCGUUAGUAUUCAAUUGUCAGAGGUGAAAUUCUUGGAUUUAUUGAAGACUAACUACUGCGAAAGCAUUUGCCAAGGAUGUUUUCAUUAAUCAAGAACGAAAGUUAGGGGAUCGAAGACGAUCAGAUACCGUCGUAGUCUUAACCAUAAACUAUGCCGACUAGGGAUCGGAUGAUGUUAAUUUUUUAAUGACUCAUUCGGCGCCUUACGGGAAAC
rnacentral:rRNA from 1 species